rnacentral:lncRNA from 1 species
ACCAUGUAAGGGGAAAAUAGGGAAAUCUGGAAGCAGAGGCUGAAGAAGAGGGAGAGGAGGAAAGGUCAUCACUAUUGACUGGAAAGAGGGGAGAUUUUAGUUCAACCAGGCCUCCAGGAAGACAAGGGCCUUACGGGACACUUGGCAUACAAGGAGAGAAGGGUGAAAUGGGUGAACCAGGAGUCGAGGGAGAGAAGGCAGAGAUGGGACGGACAGGCCCUCCUGGAGUUCAGGGGCUGAAGGGGACACAAGGCCCUUUGGGAGAGCCAGGGAGCGAUGGCCUAAAAGGAGAACAGGGAGACAUUGGUUCUCAUGAGGGGUGGGGGACCCCAGGUCUAACGGGACUUCCUGUGACUUUCAAUUGGUGGAUUGACUGAGGGCACUGAC